AAGUCGAACGAGUCUCUGGGGGGUAACUCCUAGAGGAAAGUGGCGAAAGGGGCAGUAAUGUAUGGGUAACCUACCUUGAGGUCUGGGAUAGCCAUUCCAACGGAUGGGUAAUACUGGACGGCCUGAGUUGUCGGCAUCGAUAAUUUAGUAAAGGUUACGCCUCGAGAGGGGCCCAUAUGAUAUUAGCUAGUUGGUGGGGUAAUGGCCCACCAAGGCAAAGAUGUCUAGCGGGUGUGAGAGCACGACCCGCGUCAUUGGCACUGAGACACUGGCCAAACUCC
rnacentral:rRNA from 1 species